CCUUGACGCCACACCUUUCUCCGUGCCAGCACCAGGAAUGCUUUCUGGUUUUGUUGAGUCGGGGGUUUCCAGGCUGGCCUGGAACUCACUAUAUAACGGACUCUGGCCCUGAGCUACUUCUUGACUUUACUUCCAGGGCACUGAGAUUUACAGAUGAUUCCAAUGUCUCAGCCCUCCAGCCUCCUGCCCCAGGUAGCCUUCAGGUACCAUCGUGGGCUCCCUGGGCCCUCCACCCUAAGAGAGAUGCGUUAAGGGGAGAGAGGAAAGCCUCUCAGGAUUCUGGAGGUAGAAAAAGAAGGAUCACAAAGUUGGCUUUGCUACAAGAUGCUGUCUCUAAGGAAAGAGAGAUACCCACCCGCCCUGCCGGAUUUCUCAUCUGAGCUAUGACUCUCAACAAGUGGCCUAAUGUCUCUAAGCUCCAGUUUUCACUUCCUUGUGAGAGGCCAAAGUUUCCUACCUCGUGUACCUUGCUUCACAGACUGUGAUGCUCACUUCGUUACCAGAAUAACCUCAGACAGGAUUCUGAAGCCUGGGGGACCCUGUGUCAAAAGAUAAAAGGCUGUGAAGACGCCGCUGUGGUUCAGUCACCCUCCAGCAGUGUCAUUAGCUAGAGACCAAGCCCUGAAUACGUGAAACUUUUGGACGGUCACUUCAAAUCCAAACCAUAGCCUCGGGGGAAACUUUGAGAGUUUCCAAGCUGGACCUGCUUCCCGGAGGAGAUGAAUUCAGAUAAAGGAGAUUUGGCAAACGUUGCUUGAAGUUGUGUGUGUGUGUGUGUGUGUGUGUGUGUGUGUGUGUGUGUGUGUAAAGUCUACAGGUCAGAACAAGAAGAAGAUGCAGGUGAGCAUAUAAGGGCUUUUUUUUUCGGAGCUGGGGACCGAACCCAGGGCCUCGAGCUCCCUGCCACUGAGCUAAAUCCCCAGCCCCGGCCCUGGGCUUUUGUAACCAGAGCUGUUCUCAGUGCCCUUGUCCAGGCUUGUGGACUCUAGAUGUUCACAGCUCACAGUCCCCUUUCCUCAGUGGCAGGCUCUCUUCAGGGUUGUCCCAGAGUCCACCCAGUUGGAUAAGGAGCCGGACACUAGUGCGGUACAUUUGCAUCUAUUCAUCUACCUUCUUUUAUGGUACACGUGCUCACUGAGAGGUGACUUUGUGUCAGGUAGCAGACACGGGGCAGGAGGCAGGAUGCUCAGGGAGGGAGUCCUCAGUCUAGAUAGAGAAGCACACUGAACAAGUGAAUAAGAGAGGUUACCCCAGCUACGCUCACUCACAAGCAACCCCAAACUUAGUGUUCUGAAUCAACUGGGAACAGCCAGACAUGAUGGCUGUGAUCUCUCAGACAGGACACUGAGGCAGGAGAAUUCUUGAGUUCAAGGCCACCUGGGCUAUAGUGUAAAUUUCAGGUCAACCUGAGUCAGACUUGAGACCCUGCCUCAAUAUUAGCUAACAGAAACAAAACUCUGGAGUGGAGCCUGAGAACACACCUUUAAGGCAAGCAUUUCUCUGCAGGUCUACACAGCAAGUUCCAGGGCUUGGAACAUGUAAAGCAUGUGUUUCAUCCCAAGAUAGACCAUUAGCCUUGUACGGUUGGUCAUGAGACAAGGUCUGUGUUAUGAUUUGGAUAGAAAAUGUUCCUCACAGGUGGUGGUAUUAUUUUGGAAGGUUCUGGAAGCUUUAGGAGACGGGACCUGUCAUAAAUCAGGCGUGCUCCAACAGACUGCCUUUCAGUGACUCAGCUUACAUCAUUGCCCAGUGCCGUUGUCAUUGUCGCCAGGUGCAGUGCAUUCCCACAGCUGCUGCGAACUGCAUAGCAAUGUGCACUCCCUUUAAAAGGUCCAGGCCACCCGAGCCGCUGUCUGUCUUGUUUUUUCUCUCUGCCUCCCAGCAUUCCCAGAAGGCCUUUCACUCUCCCUCACCCCCAAUAAACUUCUUGGAUUA